rnacentral:rRNA from 1 species
AACGAACGCUGGCGGCAUGCCUAACACAUGCAAGUCGAACGAAGCCUUCGGGCUUAGUGGCGCACGGGUGCGUAACGCGUGGGAAUCUGCCCUUAGGUACGGAAUAACUCAGGGAAACUUGUGCUAAUACCGUAUGAUGUCUUCGGACCAAAGAUUUAUCGCCUAGGGAUGAGCCCGCGUCGGAGUAGCUAGUUGGUGGGGUAAAGGCCUACCACGGCGACGAUCCAUAGCUGGUCUGAGAGGAUGAUCAGCCACACUGGGACUGAGACACGGCCCAGACUCCUACGGGAGGGAGAAGUGAGGAAUAUUGUACAAUGGCCGAAAACCUGAUCCAGCAAUGGCGCGUGAGUGAAGAAGGCCUUCGGGUUGUAAUGCUCUUUUACCCGUGAAGAUAAUGACUGUACCGGGAGAAUAAGCCCCGGCUAACUCCGUGCCAGCCGCCGCAGUAACAC